UACGGGGGGAGCAAGCGUUGUUCGGAUUUACUGGGCGUAAAGGGCGCGUAGGCGGUCGUGACAAGUCACUUGUGAAAUCUCCGGGCUUAACUCGGAACGGCCAAGUGAUACUGUCGGACUAGAGUACAGAAGGGGCAACUGGAAUUCCUGGUGUAGCGGUGAAAUGCGCAGAUAUCAGGAGGAACACCGGUGGCGAAGGCGGGUCUCUGGGCCGAUACUGACGCUGAGGAGCGAAAGCGUGGGGAGCAAACAGG
rnacentral:rRNA from 1 species